rnacentral:rRNA from 1 species
GACGAACGCUGGCGGCGUGCCUAAUACAUGCAAGUAGAACGCACAGUUUAUACCGUAGCUUGCUACACCAUAAACUGUGAGUUGUGAACGGGUGAGUAACGCGUAGGUAACCUGCCUGGUAGCGGGGGAUAACUAUUGGAAACGAUAGCUAAUACCGCAUAAUAUUGAUUAUUGCAUGAUAAUUGAUUGAAAGAUGCUAUUGCAUCACUACCAGAUGGACCUGCGUUGUAUUAGCUAGUAGGUGAGGUAACGGCUCACCUAGGCGACGAUACAUAGCCGACCUGAGAGGGUGAUCGGCCACACUGGGACUGAGACACGGCCCAGACUCCUACGGGAGGCAGCAGUAGGGAAUCUUCGGCAAUGGACGAAAGUCUGACCGAGCAACGCCGCGUGAGUGAAGAAGGUUUUCGGAUCGUAAAGCUCUGUUGUAAGAGAAGAACGGGUGUGAGAGUGGAAAGUUCACACUGUGACGGUAUCUUACCAGAAAGGGACGGCUAACUACGUG